UCUUUAAUCCACCUCUGCAUGUGAUCAUCUGCAUUUGACUCCUUGAACUAUGGCAGCCAGCUGGAGCCAUGAAGUAAGCCACCCUAACAUGAGUGGCAGAAACAUGGAGAGAAUUUUAAAGCUGGACAAGACCCUCAGAAAGCAGAUAAUCAAAGUACCUCAAUCAAUUGAAGUCCUGGGACAUUGACAGGGUUUCACCAUAAUGGCCAGGCUGCUCUCCACCUCCUGGGCUCAAGCGAUCCACCCACCUCAGCCUCCCAAAAUGUUGGGAUUGCAGAUAUGAGCCAUAGUUCCCCUCCAUCAGUCUUAUAGUUAAAUAGACUUCAAAAGAAUGGAAGUGGCUCAGAUCCCUCUCAACUUCUAAGAGACCCUGAUCUCUCAUCCCAUUGGCCCUUCUAAUAGAGCUAUUGGCAUUCACAUCCUAUUUUCAGCCCAAAUGUCAGUUCCUGGAGUACAAAGGCGGUGGCUGCUUCAGAUGCUUCAGACUGAAACUGCUCUUUGCCAUUCUCAUGGACACUGGAGAGUUAAGUUUGGUUAAAUUGAUGCCUUUUUCUUUUAAAAAAGAAAGAAUACACAUAUACCUUUGUGUACACACAAGCUAGGAAACAUCAAUCUAAUACAUGGAUGGCAAGAAAAACCAGAUCUGGCUCAUGCCAGUUACAAUGGUCUGUGAAGAUAAAAAGAUUUCUUCAGAUUUAUUUCUCAGCCAAUUUCUGCUUUUCCUAGGGAGAAAUUAAAAGUUUGUUAAAUACCUAUGUUUAGCCUUUUAUUAAUUUAGCCGGUGAAAUUAAAA
rnacentral:lncRNA from 1 species